CAUCACAAUCACGUGACCGCAACGUGAGAUAUAUAGGAUUGAAUUGUCGUCUGUAGCUCAUCGCAUCGGUACUUAUAACACUAACACAGAGGUGGCUCAUGUGUGUAUAAAAACGAUAGGACAAGAGGAGGUAGUACGGAUAAUUUUUAAAGGAACGAGUAUAUGUCAAGCUGAGGUGGAUCAUACAUUUACCGAACAAAAAAUGAACAAAUUAGUUCACAUUUUAAACCUGGUCCAGCUCUUGUUGUUUGGGAUUAUCGGCUGCCUGUCAUACCCUUCCAUUGAGAUCCGGGAUAGUUACAACAGACAUACCAAGGCUUUCCGACUAGCGAACUGCCAAUUUGAUGACGUACUACACACAAACUGCUAUUCAUGUGCGAGACUUUACGACAGCCACGCCCUGUAUAAAGACUGCUGCCAGGGCGUAGACACCAUUCUGGCGGAAAUAUGCGCGACUGGAGUAUGAAAACUCUGGAGCAAACAAAAGUCUGUCUUUCUGAUGGAUGCAAAUAUCAAAAGAACCAUAACGCUUCGACGCAUCAUUAUGGUCAGCAACCUCUGGACCAAUUUAAUCAAAUGUGAAAUUUCAAGUUAGAACCUGAAAAUGGUCAUUGUUUUACCACAUAAUUGGUCAAUAGCGUUGUUCAGGUGGCUUUUAUUUAUCUACAAAUAAUUCUUGUAAAUCUUCUUUUUCGUGAGUAAUACCGUGCAUGUAUAACAAAUAUACCUUGAUCCAUAAAGUACGGAACUGAUUGAUUAAACAAAUAUUAAAAUGUACUAACAAAAAAUCUACAGAGUACACAAGUAAAGCUUCCUUAACAAGUUUUAUCUAUAGACAAACAUAAGAUUACUGUUCCAAACUAUUUUUUCUUCACGACUAAUAAAGAUGUAUUGUA